rnacentral:lncRNA from 1 species
GGUGCAUUAGGGUUAGGCAAGGGUUUCUGAUUUUUUUUUUUUUCAAUUGAAGCAACAGUAGGGAUGACAGAGAAAAUGUUGGGGUGAGAGAGAUGAAAGAGAAAGGAUUAAGAGGAAUGACGGGAUUGAGUAAGUUUUUUUUUUUAGUUUUGAGAAUGAAAAUUAUUUAAAUAUCCUUGACUUUAGAACUUAGAAUCCAUGAUAUACGAGGGAAUUUUUGUUUAUUAUAAUCCGAUAUACAUUGUUAAAACGUACCAACUGAAAAAU